CUUAAAAUGGCAGCGGGGCCCGUUUCAGCAGCGGUGAUCCGCUGCCCACCCGCCACCAAGUCGGUGGGGCCUGACCGCCCAUCAAGGGCAAAAUUCUGCCCCAUGGGUUUCUCACCUGUGCAAGAAAGGGAAACAGCAGAAUGGCAGCUUACAAUGGAGGCUCUGGACUGGCAAGGUUGGCUAUCUUGACACCACAUCACCCAAACCCUGAUCCAUUGAUUGUACAAUCAGAAAUGAGGAACUCUUACAUCUCAGAAGGAGGCCCUUCAGCCCAUUGUGCCUGUGCCAGCUUUGAAAGAGCUAUCCAAAUAAUCUCAGCCAGUCUGCUCUGCUCUUUCCCCCAAAGACCUGCAUUUUUUUCUUUUUGAGUGUAUAUCCAGUUUCCUUUUCAAAGUUACUAUUGAAUAUACUUUCACCACCUUAUCACCAAGUGCAUGCCAGACCAUAAAAACUCACUGUUUAA